UUCCUGGUGGCUCAGAUGGUAAAGCAUCUGCCUACAAUGCAGGAGACCCAGAUUCAAUCCCUGGGUAGGGAA
rnacentral:tRNA from 1 species